rnacentral:rRNA from 1 species
GACCUCGAAUCAGGUGG